AGAGUUUGAUCCUGGCUCAGAACGAACGCUGGCGGCGGGAUAAGACAUGCAAGUCGAGCGCUGAUUACAGGGUAGCAAUAUUCUGUGGUCGGAGCGGCGCAAGGGUGCGUAACACGUGGGUAAUCUGCCAUGAAGUUUGGAAUAACUUGCUGAAAGGCGAGCUAAUACCGGAUGUGACGAUUGGAAGGCAUCUUCUGAUCUUCAAAGCUGGGGACCGUAAGGCCUGGCGCUUCAUGAUGAGCCCGCGGCCUAUCAGCUAGUUGGUGAGGUAACGGCUCACCAAGGCUAAGACGGGUAGCUGGUCUGAGAGGACGACCAGCCACACUGGAACUGAGACACGGUCCAGACACCUACGGGUGGCAGCAGUCGAGAAUUUUUCACAAUGGGCGCAAGCCUGAUGGAGCGACGCCGCGUGGGGGAUGAAUGGCUUCGGCCCGUAAACCCCUGUCAUUUGCGAACAAAUUGGUUCAACUAAUACCUGAACCAUUGAUAGUAGCGAAAGAGGAAGGGACGGCUAACUCUGUGCCAGCAGCCGCGGUAAUACAGAGGUCCCAAGCGUUGUUCGGAUUCACUGGGCGUAAAGGGUGCGUAGGUGGUGAGGUAAGUCGGAUGUGAAAUCUCCGAGCUCAACUCGGAAACUGCAUUGGAAACUACCUUGCUCGAGGGUUGGAGGGGGGACUGGAAUGCUUGGUGUAGCAGUGAAAUGCGUAGAUAUCAAGCGGAACACCAGUGGCGAAGGCGAGUCCCUGGACAACUCCUGACACUGAGGCACGAAAGCUAGGGGAGCAAACAGGAUUAGAUACCCUAGUAGUCC
rnacentral:rRNA from 1 species